rnacentral:lncRNA from 1 species
AUGGCCAAGCAACCUGCUAGCAUGUGCAUAUCAUUUAGUCACAGGUUCCCUUGGAGGAAAAAACUUAAAAUGAUUGGUCACCAGAAGUAUGCUGACCCACACCUCUGCAGUUUCUCAAGACAGCAGUCAUUCCUCACUUGUUCUCAACUGGAGAACUUAAGAUACUCCCUCUUAAGAAACUGAAUAAAAAUGAAAAUACACUGGCAAGAGCUGAACCAAUAUUUUAAAAUACAACGAAGGGAUUCCUGGGUGACUCAGUUGGUUGUGUCUGAUUCUUGAUUUCAGAACAAGUAAGUGAUGAUCUCAGGGUUAUGAGAUCCCAUAACCAUAUAUUGAGCCCCACAUCGGGCUCCACACCUAGUGUUAAGAUUUUCUCUCUCCCUCUGCCACUCUCCACUGCUUAUGCUCUAUCUCUCUAAAAUUGAAAAAAUAAAUAAACAUCAUGAAGAAAAAUACA